rnacentral:rRNA from 1 species
CCUACGGGAGGCAGCAGUGGGGAAUUUUGCGCAAUGCUCGAAAGAGUGACGCAGCGACGCCGCGUGAAUGAUGAAGGCCUUCGGGUCGUAAAGCUCUUUCGACAGGGAAGAACAUGCCUAUUAGUAAUUGUGUAUGUAUUGACGGUACCUGUAUAAGCAGCCCCGGCUAACUCCGUGCCAGCAGCCGCGGUAAUACGGAGGGGGCGAGCGUUGGUCGGAGUUACUGGGCGUAAAGAGCACGUAGGGGGUGUGUGAAGUCAUAGGUCAAAGCCCAGAGCUCAACGUUAGAAGGGCCAGUGAUACUAGCAUACUAGAGUAUCAGAGAGGAUUGCAGAAUUCCAGGUGUAGCAGUGAAAUGCGUAGAUAUCAGGAGGAAUAGC